UACGGGGGGGGCUAGCGUUGUUCGGAAUUACUGGGCGUAAAGGGCGGGUAGGUGGUUGUGUAAGUUGGUUAUGAAAGCUCCUGGCUAAACUGGGAGAGGUUGACCAAGACUGCAGAACUUGAGUGGAGAAGAGGUAAACGGAAUUCCGCGUGUAGUGGUGAAAUGCGUAGAGAUGCGGAAGAACACCAGUGGCGAAGGCGGUUUACUGGUCUCCAACUGACACUGAGCCGCGAAAGCAUGGGUAGCGAACGGG
rnacentral:rRNA from 1 species